rnacentral:piRNA from 1 species
UGGAAGAAAGGUCUAUUCCACUGC